AUUGAACGCUGGCGGCAUGCCUUACACAUGCAAGUCGAACGGCAGCACGGGUGCUUGCACCUGGUGGCGAGUGGCGAACGGGUGAGUAAUAUAUCGGAACGUACCUUAUUGUGGGGGAUAACGCAGCGAAAGCUGUGCUAAUACCGCAUAAUCCCUAAGGGGGAAAGCGGGGGACCGUAAGGCCUCGCGCAAUUAGAGCGGCCGAUACCUGAUUAGCUAGUUGGUGAGGUAAAGGCUCACCAAGGCAACGAUCAGUAGCUGGUCUGAGAGGACGAGCAGCCACCCUGGGACUGAGACACGGCCCAGACUCCUACGGGAGGCAGCAGUGGGGAAUUUUGGACAAUGGGGGCAACCCUGAUCCAGCAAUGCCGCGUGAGUGAAGAAGGCCUUCGGGUUGUAAAGCUCUUUUGUCAGGGAAGAAACAGCAGCUCUAACACAGUAUGCGAAUGACGGUACCUGAAGAAUAAGCACCGGCUAACUACGUGCCAACCGCCGCAGUAA
rnacentral:rRNA from 1 species